AAAGGGCGGCGUAACCUGUCGCUAUGGAUGGCCCCGCGUGCAUUAGCUAGUUGGUAAAGGUAACGGCUUUCCCAAGGCAAUGAUGCAUAGCCAAGUGAGAGAACUGAACGGCUCACAUUGGGACUGAGACACGGCCCCAAACUCCUACGGGAGGCAGCAGUAGGGAAAUCUUCCCACAAUGGUCGCAAGUCUGAUGGAGCAACGCCGCGUGAGUGAAGAAGGUUUUUCGGAUCGUAAAGCUCUGUUGUUUGGUGAAGAAGGAUAGAGGUAGUAACUGGCCUUUAUUUUGACGGUAAUCAACCAGAAAGUCACGGGCUAACUACGUGCCAGCAGCCGCGGUAAUACGUAGGUGGCAAGCGUUGUCCGGAUUUAUUGGGCGUAAAGCGAGCGCAGGCGGAAGAAUAAGUCUGAUGUGAAAGCCCUCGGCUUAACCGAGGAAUUGCAUCGGAAACUGUUUUUCUUGAGUGCAGAAGAGGAGAGUGGAACUCCAUGUGUAGCGGUGGAAUGCGUAUAUAUAUGGAAGAACACCAGUGGCGAAGGCGGCUCUCUGUUCUGCAACUGACGCUGAGGCUCGAAAGCAUGGGUAGCGAACAGGAUUAGAUACCCUGGUAGUCCAUGCCGUAAACGAUGAGUGGUAAGUGUUGGGAGGUUUCCGCCUCUCAGUGCUGCAGCUAACGCAUUAAGCACUCCGCCUGGGGAGUACGACCGCAAGGUUGAAACUCAAAGGAAUUGACGGGGGCCCGCACAAGCGGUUGAGCAUGUGGUUUAAUUCGAAGCAACGCGA
rnacentral:rRNA from 1 species